rnacentral:rRNA from 1 species
AAGCUCGUAGUUGAAUUUCGGGUCUGGUUAGUCUGGUUUAGCCGCAAGGUUAACACUGGUCUUUGGCUGGACCUUUUCUUCUAGAGACUCAGCGUAUCUUUUAUUAGGUGCGUUGAUGGAUCUAGGACUGUUACUUUGAAAAAAUUAGAGUGUUUAAAACAGGCAUAUGCUUGAAUACUACAGCAUGGAAUAACGGAAUAGGACUUUUGUUUCUAUUUUGUUGGUUUGAGAAACAAAGUAAUGAUUAAUAGGGAUAGUUGGG